UUUUGGAGGGCAAAUCUGGUGCCAGCAGCCGCGGUAAUCCCAGCUCCAAUAGCGUAUAUUAAAGUUKUUGCAGUUAAAAAGCUCGUAGUUGAAUUUCGGGAUCAAAUUGUCGGUCGUGCCUCGGACGUACUGGCGUUACUGGUUCCCCCUUCUGAAGAACCGCGAUGUCAUUAAUUUGGUGUCGCGGGGAAUCAUG
rnacentral:rRNA from 1 species